rnacentral:lncRNA from 1 species
GAGCAAAGUACACAGAGCUGCUUGGUGAACGUGAGGUGAGGAGACGGAGAAUCAGGGGGCAUGUUUGUGUUACCCCAGACAACAACCUGAUGAGAUGGCCGUGCUACUAUUGGACUAUGUUGGUGUCCAUGACCCAUCCUACCACCAGAGACGAUGCUGAGGUCCACGGCACUUGCUGACACAAGGGUGGAUAUCAGUGCUGUCACCAGAAACCAUGUAGAAGCCCAUGAACCUCACUCCUGUUGACUAUGAAGGACAAGGAAGCAUCUGCUGUACUGGUACUGAUGACUGAGGACUCACAUUUGAGAAACAUAGAAGACUCCUGUGAUAACCUCCCUUCCCCAUACACACACACACAUACACACACACACACACACACACACACACACACACACACACACACACACACCCCUAACAACCUAGAAGGAAACCAUCGAGGAGAUGUGGAGAGGAGGCUGAAGUGUGGCUCUCCAUGGUAGGUGGCUCUGGCAGGGUGCGGUUAGUGGGAAGGACUCACUUUUAAGGGCUGGCCACCGAGAGUGUGGCCAUGUUCCAGUGACUGUACAGACAGCACAAACUGGACUUGGCUGGUGUUUUGUUUUGUUUGAUUCUUUUUUGAGCUACAAGGGUUAAGGGGACAGACUUGGAAGUAAGGGUGACCAGGGUGCAUUGUAUAAAAUUCCCAAAUAAUCAAUAAAAAUAUGUUUGAGAGAGAGAGA